GCCGGAGUCAGCGCGAAGAAUGUAUCAGUUUGUGUUUGUCAUUUGAAGAAGCUACACAUUCCACUUUGUCAAAAUGUUCAAAAUUAUUGCUUUCUUAUUCAUGGCUAUCGUUAUCGCUUGCGUGUGCGCCGAACCAAAGCCUGAUGUAAUUGCUUACAGUGCACCAGUUGUCGCUGCUCCAUUGGCCACUAGCAGUCAAUACUUUGCUCGAAGCUCAUCUCCAUAAGUAGCAUACCCAUAUGUCGCUGCAUAUUCAGCACCUUAUGUUGUCGCUGAUCCGUAUGCUGCUUACACAUCAACACUCUUCUUAUAAAUGUGAUAUAUUCGAGAAGAAGAAACCAUCGGUUCUAUUCAAUUGGCAAAAGAACGAUUUUGUUAUGUGAA